rnacentral:rRNA from 1 species
CGGCGUACGGGUGAGUAACACGUGGGUAAUCUACCUCUUAGUGGGGAAUAACUUUGGGAAACCGAAAGCUAAUACCGCAUAAGCUCGAGAGAGGAAAGCAGCAAUGCGCUGAGAGAGGAGCCCGCGGCCGAUUAGCUAGUUGGCAGGGUAAAAGCCUACCAAGGCAUAGAUCGGUAGCCGGCCUGAGAGGGCACACGGCCACACUGGCACUGAAACACGGGCCAG